UCUGCCCCUAGAGGCAUUGUAUGUGUGACUGCGGUGUCUCAUAUGCGUCAGUAGGUGGCAGAGAGGAGACGGGCUAUGUCUACUCUCAGUGCACUUACAUGUAAACAUCUGAACGUUUUGAAGCCUAACAUU
ensembl:snoRNA small nucleolar RNA SNORA17